UCCACUCCUCUCUGUGCCGCCAUCUUCUUCCAUCUACAUGAUCUUUUAAGCAUGUUGUCUUUUUAGCUUCUGGGAGACACCAGAAAUAAAAAGGGAUGGAGAGAACAGAUGGAAAAAUCAGAGUAAUUUAGGAGUUCAGUGUCUUUGUAAACAAUUUUGAUAUGUGGUGAAAUCUUUCUCAAAGCUUGCAGAUAGAUCGUAGUGAGUUUUGCUCAUAGAUUGUUGUGAAUAGAGUGAAAAAUGGCAAAUAGGUUUUUAUGCAUCAAGGUUUAAAUAAUGUGGUUUGUUUUUUUAGGUAAUUGGUCUGAAGUACUUAUAUGCUUUUUGGGGUAGAAAUUCAGCGUAAGGUUGGUCAAGAUUUAAUAAGGUAACUAUAAAAUCAUAAUUCUUAUUCAGAAUAAUGCUAUGAUACAUCUGCACAAAAUCUGUGUAUUUCUGGCCCAUUGUACUGUGUCAGUGAUUACCAAAAUGAGGGAAGGUGUAGACAGGGAUUGUUUAAAAAUGAUUGGAGAAUUAGGGAUGCAAUCCACAAUCGAGGAUUGCAGAUUUUACUGGUUAACUGUAUUCUUUAUUUUUAUUAUUUAAUGUUCAAGUUAACCAGUUCCUCAAAUCUGAACCAGAGCAGGGGGAAACGUGGGGUAUACAAAAUAUUGUAGAUUCAUUUUGGAAAUAAGUAGAAUUCUCAAUUUUUAUAUCUUGUUAUUAUUUGAGAGUAUAUAUUAGGCAUGUAAAUUUAUGGAACUAGUCCAUAGCUAUGCCUCUCUAGCAGGGUAUUUCCCAUUUUUUCCUCUGAAGAUACUAUCAGCUGGUUUUAUUUGACCUUUUAUUUUUGUUUAUCUACCCCCUCCCACCACCCCAAAAAAUAACAGAAAAAAACAAAAGUGAAGAAAUAGAAACUUACCCUAAAAUUAAUUCUAGUUCUGAGUCUUUUACUCACGGAUUGUCUGUUAAUUGAAGAACAUUUGAUUGAAAAGUGUUUCAGAGAGAUCUGUGGAAAGAUUGGUUUUGUUAGUUUUGAAUUUGGCAUAAAUAUGCUUUAACAUGGAACUCUUUUUCCUUUCCCUCUUUCCUAUCACCCUAAAUCUGAAACCCAAGAAGAAAAAGAAGUCCUGUUUGUGUUGUACUAGGUUGAUUUCUAGUUUACUUCUUUGACCCCAUUAUUGUCUCUCUUCCUUUUUGAUGUCAUGUUCCCCUCUUAUAUUCUUAAUGUAGGAUUAAUAGUGAAAACAGUCCCCAUGGGAAACCUCUAGCAUAGCUCUCACUAGUGUGAGAUGUGCUAUAGGGGUUAAUUCUUUUACUUGACAAACAUCUCCUAUGUGUAGCUGUUUUCUCUAGUAGUCUAAAACAUUUCCUUUUCAAUGAAUAUGAAAAAGUUGGGUAUAUUUAACAUUACAGCUGUAUGUGUUGAGUUAAAUGAUUUUAUUCAUGUUGUAGUUCGGAAAUUUUUCAACUUGCAUGCAUGGGAAGUUAUAACAGUAAUAGAACUCAAUUUUCCCUAUGAUUUUUAGCAUUUAAGUAUCACUUAUUAAUAUAAAUUUAUAACUAAAUUUAUUUGGCUUUAUUGAGACCUAGCAGAAUCAUUUAGGAAUUAUGAGGAAUUUGAAGAAGCUGAAACAUUUUUCCUAGCCUCAAAAAAUUUUAAUCUUGUUGAGGUACCAUCAGAGGACCAGCAGUUUUGGAGAUAGAAAGCUCACAGGAUUGGAUUGACAGCAAAAUCCCAGAGGAUACUGGAACCCAAGAUACCAGAGCAGCACUGAAAAGAGGGCAGAGAACUGGAAAAGGUUUUGAAAAUUACAAGAAGAAUUUCAGUGGAUGGACCAAAUAACAGUUUACUGUGAAUCAAGACCAACUUGUUGAAUUGGAACUAAAGAGGAGAAACUCUGUAUAUGGAACAAAAAAUAGAUCUGGAAAAAUUGAGAGAAAAUUUUAAGAGGGUCAAGAAAUAGCAUCAAAAGUUGGUGAAUCAAGAAACAGAAGUAAAAUAAUAUUAAGGUA